AAUAGGGUAGCCUAGUGGACAUGGCAUCUGCUCAAUAAGCUGAACACUGUGGGUUCGAUUCCCAUUUUUUCCGUCA